UACUCGUCGAGUCGCAUGUAUCCGCACCGUUCUAAGUACAUUAUAAAAAGAGAACGUAACGAAUGGAAGUUUGAAUUAGAACGCUAACAGAAUGGAAUUUAAAAGUAACAAGAUAUUGGAGGAAGUACAUCCAUUAAACAUUAUCCGUGAGAUCCAAAAGUGGCCAGUGUUAUACUCCCGGGACGGCUCCCAGCGACCGACAGCCGGGACACACUUUAGGAGCAGGGUGUGGGCGGAGGUGGCCAGGAACCUGUUCCAGGAGUGGGACCAGUUCGCCCAAAAGACACAGGAACAAAAACGUACAUCCUAGAUACUGAUAAGACGAGGAAGAGAUUUCUUUUCAGAUUUGAACAAAAAAUGGCGAAACCUCCGGGAUACGUUCAAGAGACAACUCCUCCUAGAGAAGAAAAUGAGAGAGGGGCAGAAAAUAAAGAGAAAAACGUACGUUUACUUUGAACACAUGCAGUUCCUGCUGCCGUAUAUAGAGCCGGCUGAGCAGGACUCGGAGGUGAAGCCUCGCCUGCAAGAAUUCUUUAACAAGAGAGCGAAGAGGAAGGUCUCCAAAGACACUCAUAUUACUAAAAAAACUAGACCUAUGACCCAUCUGCUGGAUGAUGCACCUGCAGCUUCUAAUUUCGCGGAUGUUCUGGAUGCAGACCGACAUUUCCUUUUGUCUCUCAUACCAUCAUUCCAGACGAUGGCGGAAGACGACAAGCUCACGGCAAAAGUUGAAAUAUUAAAAGUUAUUAAAAAUAUUAAAAAGAAAACGGUAUCAAAGGACGGCGCUCCGGAGCCUGACUCGCUGACCCUCGAAGGAGACGAGGAACACCUCGGACAGACCAAGACCAGAAGAGAGACCAGCGACAACUACAUGGAGGGGAAAGGAUGAACAGAGACGUGGAUACAGAUGACACCAGCUCCGACUAGUGGUGUCAUGCCGACGUGUCGACCACUUUGCAGUAACAGUGACCUCUGUGGAGCGAGUUGAAAUGCGUAGGUACUCUUACUUAAUAUAUAUUUUAUACGUGAGUUUUUGACUUUUACCAAAAUUUAAAAAUAAUUCUCUUGAGUAUUUAUUUAUAUCAAUUAACGAAUGUUAAAGUUACUAAUUAGUAGGAGAAUCAACGGGUUUUAUAAAUUGUCUGAUAUACGGCGAUGUCGACGGUUGCCUUGAAAAGUAAAAAUGACUAUGUUAUUACUGGAGAGUUCAAUGAGCUGGUUGUUGCCUUUACAUAUAGAUCAUAACUCAGCUUGGUUAAUAUUCGACAUUAAAUGUCUCUGUUGAAAUUGUCCGUUAAGGUAAAAAAAUAUUACACGAUUGAGUUAGUAAGAAAAACGAUCAAUAUAUAAUCGAGUGUAUUUAAAAAUAUACUUUUAUUUACAAAGAAUUGAGAAAAUCUCCGAUUAGGGAAGUGUCAUUCUAAAAUUAGCGACAAUCAUAGUGGAAUACAAAGAUACAAGGAUUCCUACGACUACGAUGACGAUCAACAGGGACGCGAACAUGACGGAGCCGCUGACGAAGGCCAACGAGGAGACGAGGGCCGUGGAGCAGAUCAGCAGCGUCCAGAACAACACCAUGAACCAGAUGUACACCUCGCACAGGGCGUCACUCUCACUGACAGCCGCAAACAACAGCAGCACGUGCACCGCCGACACCUGCACGCCGAACAGACCGUACAGGUAGCGCAGCGGCUUAGCGAACUGCUGCGGCAGUCCACAGUCCUCCAGCAUGCUGUUCCCGUAGGAAGUGAAGCAGAAGAGAAAUACUCCGCCGCAUAGCAGACCCACUAACGAAAUGAUGACGAGACUCGGCCGCAGCGGCACGCAGCAGCAGCACUGGUUCAACGUUGGACAGUUCUCGAUCAGAGCACUCAUUCAAAAACAACUCCACAUUCAUUGACAACUCUACUGUUAAUGUUGACAUACUGCAGCUGACAGACACGGAAAGUGCUCAGCAGAUACUUUUGAUUGACAUGAAAUGUCGUCACUAAGGAGUUCACUGUCAAUUUGGUUACGAAAUAAAUUUAUUUUUUAUACUAUACGGAA